rnacentral:rRNA from 1 species
UACAGAGGUGGCAAGCGUUGUUCGGAAUUACUGGGCGUAAAGGGCGCGUAGGCGGCCUUCUAAGUCAGACGUGAAAUCCCCCGGCUUAACCUGGGAACUGCGUCUGAUACUGGAAGGCUUGAGUGCGGGAGAGGGAUGUGGAAUUCCAGGUGUAGCGGUGAAAUGCGUAGAUAUCUGGAGGAACACCGGUGGCGAAGGCGGCAUCCUGGACCGACACUGACGCUGAGGCGCGAAAGCGUGGGGAGCAAAAGGG